GUAAGUCACUUUUUCAGUGCUGCUGUAACUUUGAACAGUCACUAAAUGAAGUGAAGGUUUCUUAUAAUUCACAAUAUUAUUCUGAAUCAGUUAAUCAGAGUCCUUCGGGAUUGGGUGGCAUACAAAUCUAUUAAAAUUACAAAUUAAGCAUUUCAACACAGCAGCAAUGAAGCACAAUGUGAACACAAACAUCUGCAAAUUACUGUUAAAAAGGAAAGCUUCUUGUGAACAUUUGCUUGUGUCUCAUCAAGUUGUUUUCCACUUCUGGUAACUAUGCAGAGUUUUCUCCAUUAUCUAUCCGUACCCUGGUCUUUCAGGUCUUCCAAAGAUGCACUCAUCACCACUGUAACAAAGUCCACCCACUUUGCUGCUGGUCUUCUGCACCCCUUUAAACAAGAUGCAGCUAUGUAGUGGUCAUCACAGCAAAUGCUUGGCAUAAAGUUGAGGCUGAAACUACAAAAGCACUUCAAGAAAGCUGGAUUUGUUACCACCCAAGAGCAAGAUGUUGCAGCCCCACUAGGCAGCCAUGGAGGCAUUCAAGGGAGUAGAUGUUGAAGUUUGUUGCAAUGGAUGACGACAUGGCAAUCUGCAAUGAACCUGACCUAGAAGCAAUUUUCCAAUCGGUAUGGAUUGAGGUACAAAUCAGCAGAAAAGUGCUGGAAGCAACUGAUGAAGUAGAUGAAUUAAGCGAAGAAUUAGGUGAGGAUGACACACUAAUUGCAGAUAUUCUGAAAGAGGAUGUCAGUCACUUGAUAAGGCAAUUAAAGUCAUUUGCCAUGGAAAAAUGCCCAGGUAUUCUGAAUGAUAUAACCAGCAUUGAGAGUGCUUUCUCCACUUACCUUCAUAAAAAGAAUAAGCAAUGGACUAAAAUUGACUUUUUUCAGAAACAAUGAACAAUCCAUGAAAAAAUACAUACCUAAAUAUAUUGAUUUUGUAUUAUACAGUAUUUUAUGAUUUUCCUGUUUUCAUUGUUUCUGUAUGACUUUCUCUAAACUUGUACAGUAAAAUGAGGCACAUGUUCGCAUUAGUAUAGUCUGUAUGUUGAUAAGCACUGUACGUUGAGCCCUUUCCUUCAGUCCCUUCGGUGGUCAACUUAUUCUACUUAAAAUCUACUAACUUAAAGAAUAUGUACAAGAUUUAGAGCUUUAUAGCUAUGCAUAUUCACAAGGUUCUGGCCACUGCAGUAUCUCGUUACAGGAUCUUGGUUUCUAGUCUUCCUGGCCAGCUUCCCACAAGCAAAGUCAAUGGGGAAACCAGCAGGAAGCCAGAAAUCGUUCCUAAUGCAUUAUACUGCAACAAUUUUUGAAUCAAGGUUGUUAAAACCAAACCAAUAGCAAUAUGAUUUGGGGAAAAUUAAUGUUUAAUUCUGGUUACAUCACGACACUACCUUUGUCUCAAAGGAUGGCCCAACAGGUUAUGGGUUUGUUAUAUAAAACUAUAGCUCCAAUACAAUUAAGAUACUUAAAAUUUAUAUUUUAAAGACUAGAGGUCAAAUAUUAGGAAAAAUUAGAAAAGCGUUAAUUGGGGGGAAAACUACAUUUGUGCAUAUUAAGGCAAAGAUUUUAAGGAUUCCAGCAGUACAUAGCUAUCUAUCAUUUAGACGGGAGCUAAUAACAUUACUAAUAUCAACUGGAUUUCAUUUUAAAACUUGUCAUAACAUUUAAAUGCAGAAAGGUGAUCUUUUGGGUACAAAGCUGCAUACUUCUUCAAGAUACCUAACCUUUUUUCUGGCCAGUUGAUCAAAAUAAAUGUUGUUUGGUCUUUCCAGGCAAGAUUACGGAGUUCUUUCUGGUAAUGGAGAACAUACAUAUAGUAAAUACUAGAGAAAAAUGUAUUUAUUCCUCCUUUUUCCUUGCAAUCCUGCUGAAAAUUGCUGGCUUUCUGCUCCCAUUAGCUGGAAACGUAUAAUCUUAAAUAGAAUUACUAUAAUUGUACUUCAAAAUUGCUGGUGUCUUGCUCCAGUCUUCCAACAAUUACCAAUAUUACAAAGCUGAACUGGGUGUUCACGCAAGCAGAUAUUUUAAUUGAUCCCACUUCCACCUUAAAGAAUUCAGAAAGUAUAAAUGGUUUUACCAGAUGUGAAAAUUACAAAAGUUAUAGAAAGUUGCAAAUUAUUUUCAAAUGUUUCUGGAACUGAAAAAGCCAGGAUUGUAUCUUUUCAAUGCUACCCAUAACUGAACAUGCAAACCAGUAAAAUGUUAAAUGAAGUUCAAAGUUUUCUUAAGGCUGAAACAGACUUCUCCAGCACUGCAGGUGAGCGAAUAUAUGCAUGUGUCAUUCAGGGACAGUUGCGUAGGCGUUACUUUUACACAUCAGAGAAUGUUAAUGUUCUGGCUAAGUAGCCCUCAAACAGCAAAGCAUAGAAGUCCGAACAACUAAUCAUCACAUCUCCACAUGAGGUUGGAUUCAGGUCUGGACAGUCUGGAGCCUUCUGCAACUUCCACUUAUAAACAAAUCCCUUUUGUAGUGUAGGUAUGUGGCAAGGGCUGUGGGCAGUUUGUGCGCAACUUUUAAGUCAGCAUUUAGUAAGCACUCUUAUGCAGAAUUAACUAUUGGUUCAUAGUAUUUUCUGCACUAGAGCGAACUAGAGAUGUAUGACAUGCCAGUUCUGUUACUUUCCCUUAAAGGAAAUUAUGGUAGCUAUGAAGUAUUUCACGGGAUCAAAUUGCCUGCCUUCACUUUUAAAUGAAACUGUCAAGACUCUUUACAGGACAGUCAUCUGCAGAUCCUAAAUGAUUCAGUCUUUGUACUCUAUCUUCCAAUUUACCUAACAAAGCUAAUUCAUGAACACUGGAAGUAAUCCAUUACACUUUAUUGAAUGCUAUGUUGUAGUAAUGGAAGAGGAUCAUUCACAACCAAACAUGUUCAGAGGCUGUUUUUAAAUUUUUAGUUGAAAUGGUUGUGUUGCUUUUAGACUGGGAAAAUAUUUUUUUUGUUUUGGAAUUGAAUUUUAAACUGCACCAUUUAUAUUUAGAACUUCUCAUAAGCUUGACUGAAGGAACCUGCCCAAGACAGGUUUCUUUUUAACAUAUUAUCCCACAAUGUCACACAUUAGAAUAGUUAUAUUCACAAUAACUGUGUGUUGGUUAGAUAUGACUGAAAACCUGGAACUCUUUGGCUACAUUUUUAAAAUGGCUGUUGAUUGCAUAUUUUUCAUUGUUUGGACAAGUAUAGUUAAACUGUGAAGAUUACUGAUUGGAGCUUGAAACCUUUUUGGUAACGCAAUUCCUUUACAGGCAUAAACAAGUCCUAGCAAAGGGAAUGCCUGAAACAUUUACAAUUCCUUUCAUAAGUCAUUGUUAAGAGAAUUUUAUACAUAGCAUUACAGUAAUACUCCUACCCUUUGGCCUCAAUUAUUACUGAAAUUAUUCUGCUUUUUAAAAUGUUUCCAUCUAUCCAUCCUACCAACAAAGUUUCCAUCAAUAAAAGUCCAAUCUGGUACAUUAAAUCUUUAUUUUUAUAACUUAUUGCAUAGGGCCACAAUUACAACACAUUCUGGUGUUAAUAAAGAGUUGUACAUUUUUAAUGCGCUGAUUUUCUUCAAAUCUUCAGAGUUCAUGCAUGAUGCUAACUU